GACGAACGCUGGCGGCGUGCUUAACACAUGCAAGUCGAACGGAAAGGCCCCUUUGGGGGUACUCGAGUGGCGAACGGGUGAGUAACACGUGAGUAACCUGCCCUUGACUUCGGGAUAACUUCAGGAAACUGGGGCUAAUACCGGAUAGGAAUCCUUGCUGCAUGGUGGGGGUUGGAAAGCUUCGGCGGUUUUGGAUGGACUCGCGGCUUAUCAGCUUGUUGGUGGGGUAGUGGCUUACCAAGGCUUUGACGGGUAGCCGGCCUGAGAGGGCGACCGGCCACAUUGGGACUGAGAUACGGCCCAGACUCCUACGGGAGGCAGCAGGGGGGAAUAUUGCACAAUGGGCGGCAGCCUGAUGCAGCAACGCCGCGUGCGGGAUGACGGCCUUCGGGUUGUAAACCGCUUUCAGCAGGGGCGAAGCUUGUGGUGACGGUACCUGCAGAAGAAGCACCGGCUAACUACGUG
rnacentral:rRNA from 1 species